CUUCUCCCGCUUGUGGGGGGGAAAAGCGGGAGAAGCCCCGGCAGAAGU
rnacentral:tRNA from 1 species